rnacentral:tRNA from 1 species
AAGGCCUUAGCUUAAUUAAAGCGUCUGGUUUGCAUCCAUAUUAUGUGGGAUAAAGUCCUGCAGGCCUUA